rnacentral:rRNA from 1 species
GACGAACGCUGGCGGCGUGCUUAACACAUGCAAGUCGAACGGAAAGGCCCUGCUUUUGUGGGGUGCUCGAGUGGCGAACGGGUGAGUAACACGUGAGUAACCUGUCCUUGACUUUGGGAUAACUUCAGGAAACUGGGGCUAAUCCCGGAUAGGAGCUCCUGCUGCAUGGUGGGGGUUGGAAAGUUUCGGCGGUUGGGGAUGGACUAGCGGCCUAUCAGCUUGUUGGUGGGGUAGUGGCUUACCAAGGCUUGGAGGGGUAGCCGGCCUGCGAGGGUGACCGGCCCCGUUAGGACUGAGAUACGGCCCAGACUAGUACGGGAGGCAGCAGUGGGGAAGAUUGCACAAUGGGCGGAAGCCUGAUGCAGCAACGCCGCGUGCGGGAUGACGGCCUUCGGGUUGUAAACCGCUUUCGCCUGUGACGAAGCGUGAGUGACGGUAAUGGGUAAAGAAGCACCGGCUAACUACGUG